rnacentral:rRNA from 1 species
UACAGAGGGGGCAAGCGUUGUUCGGAAUUACUGGGCGUAAAGGGCGCGUAGGCGGCCCGCUAAGUCGAACGUGAAAUCCCCAGGCUCAACCUGGGAACUGCGUCCGAUACUGGAUGGCUUGAAUCCGGGAGAGGGAUGCAGAAUUCCAGGUGUAGCGGUGAAAUGCGUAGAUAUCUGGAGGAAUACCGGUGGCGAAGGCGGCAUCCUGGACCGGCAUUGACGCUGAGGAGCGAAAGCUAGGGGAGCAAACGGGG